GCUGGCUCUCACGAGGCAUGUGCACGCCUGGCUCAUCCACUCUUAACCUCUGUGCACUUUAUGUAAGAGAAAAAAAUGGUGGAAGCUUCCAGGAUCUCGCGAGAGGUCUUUGGUUGAACAAGCCGUUUUUCUUUCUUAUGUUUUACUACAAACGCUUCAGUUAUAGAAUGUCAACUGUGUAUAACACAUUUAUAUACAACUUUCAGCAACGGAUCUCUUGGCUCUCGCAUCGAUGAAUAACGCAACGAAAUGCGAUAAGUAAUGGGAAUUGCAGAAUUCAUGGAAUCAUCAAAUCUUUGAACGCACCUUGCACUCCUUGGUAUUCCGAGGAGUAUGCCUGUUUGAGUCUCAUGGUAUUCUCAACCCCUAAAUUUUUGUAAUGAAGGUUUAGCGGGCUUGUACUUGGAGGGUGUGUCGGGCCUUGUCGGUCGACUCCUCUGAAAUGCAUGAUCGUGAA
rnacentral:misc_RNA from 1 species